UUCAGGGGCACCUGGGCAGCACCUGGGACAAAAUGGAGGAUCAUGGUCAUCCGAUCCGGCUCGUAAGCAGCAUACCACAGUCUGUCAUCUGCUGUUAGCUUGAGCUGGGGUCUAGAAACAGCCCCAGAGAGUCACAUCUCACGUGGACGCAGUCCACUGUCUAACAGGGAUGCUAAUGGAUGGAGAUCACUUAGCCAUAGUGCUUAUAGUGUGUGAGUGUGUGUUGUGUUGUAAAGAUGUGUCAUGUGAUUUAAUAAGUAUUUUGAUGCUUGGUUUGUUUAACCUUUUCAGACGCCCGAAAUCAGGGAAAAAACUGGUUGUUUUUAAUCAAUGCUUCUGAUAACAUAUUUAUGAUUCCUUUAUGACACAUUUGUAAUUGUUAGUCUGUUUAUUGUUAGUGUAUAUUGUUAGUUGUUAGUAUAUUGUUAGUGUACAUUAUUUGAAGUUGAUGCGGUCCGAUGUGGUGUGUGUAUGUGAGAAUAGAAAGAGAGACCGGCGGCUCUGUGCUUUGAUGAUGGUUUCCAUGGAAACCUCAUGGCAGCCUAAAGAUGGCCGUAAAAAUAGAGUAAGGGGAGGUGGCGUGUCGAGGCCUUAGCAUGCCGGGGCCUUAGAGUGCCGAGGCCUUAGACUGCCGAGGCCUUAGCGUGCCGAGGUGUUAGAGUGCCGAGGCGUUAGAGUGCCGAGGCAUUAGACUGCCGAGGCCUUAGCGUGCCGAGGUGUUAGAGUGCCGAGGCCUUAGCGUGCCGAGGCGUUAGAGUGCCAAAGCCUUAGCGUGCCAAGGAGUUAGAGUGCCAAAGCCUUAGCGGGCCAAGGCCUUAGCGUGCCGAGGAGUUAGAGUGCCAAAGCCUUAGCGUGCCGAGGCGUUAGAGUGCCAAAGCCUUAGCGUGCCGAGGAGUUAGAGUGCCAAAGCCUUAGCGUGCCGAGGAGUUAGAGUGCCAAAGCCUUAGCGUGCCGAGGAGUUAGAGUGCCAAAGCCUUAGCGUGCCGAUGCGUUAGAGUGCCGAGGCCUUAGCGUGCCGAGGUGUUAGACUGCCGAGGCCUUAGCGUGCCAAGGCCUUAGCGUGCUGAGGCCUUAGAGUACAGAGGCCUGAGCGUGCCGAGGCGUUAGAGUGCCGAGGCCUUAGCGUG
ensembl:lncRNA